UUACUGAAAAACUAAUACACUUCAAGUAAUAUUUUUUAUAUAUAAUUCUAUUUUAAUUUUGAUGAAAUUUUUACAUAAUUAGUACUAUAAUCGAUAGUUUCAAAAAAACAAUGACAACCACCAUAUGGCAUCAAUAUUUUCCAAAGCCUUACUCUUUUUCCCCAAAAAAGCACCCUCCCCCACUUUACCUAAUCUUAAUUUAUCUACCUUUAAUAAUUUACACAUACAAAUUAAAACAAGUUAUAUUUAACGUAGACCCUUUAUAAAUUAAUUAACGUUUGUUAAUCAAGAACAUCAUCAAAGUUUAUUUAUUCAGCUGUGACAAUAUUGCAUGGCCAUGCAGAUGAGAAAGGUUGAAAAACCAUAUUUUGACUUAUGUUUGACAACUUUUGACCCAGCAUGGUUCGUUCCAACCGGAGCCACUCAUUUUCGGUUCGUACACGAUUGCAUUGAUACAGUAAAAACUGCAACCCGUUGUUCAAUUCCCGGUUUUCAACUCUAAACCGGUUCACCUGGUUCCGUAAAUUCUCAAGAUGUCUUUGUUUUCUCAUACGUGAUCUCCUUGCUGAUUCCCGGUUCGAUAUCAUUCUCCUCCGCUUUCGGUCCUCCAUAUUCCGGUUCGAGCCAUCCAUGACCGGUUUUUCGUUUGGUUCGCCUGAACCGGAGCUUGAAGUGAGCUUAGGGCUGGUGGGUUGGAUGGGGGACAGAAUGUUAGAAAAAUCCCACGGCGUUAAACUUUUGUCUAACGCCGUGAAAUCGGAGGAAUAGAGGGAAGAGAGCAUGGUUAUUGCUAAGUAAAAAGUAGUGAAAGGAAAGAAGGAGAAAGGGAAGAAACGCUGCUUAAGGGACUCGUAUUUAAAGGCAUAUUGUAGGAGGUACUACAUGUAAAUAAUGAUAUUUAUGGGGGUGUUUUGGUCUAAUAAUGUAUAGCUUUUGAGUCAGUUGUCACUAUAUGGUGGUGGUGGGGUGUAAUUUAAGGGUCAUAUUCACUUUUUUUACAGUGACAUCAGCAAGUGGGUCCUAGAAAAAGAUUGGAUUUUAAUCUUCCUCAUGAAGGUAAAAAUAGAAGAUGGGGUCCAAAAUGACACGUGUAAGAUUUCUAGGCUAGGUUAGUGUGUGAGGAUCCAAUGAUUGGAAAUGUUGAUGACGUGGCAAUAUGCUAGCAGCAGGAGGUAAUUAACAGCUGUUGAACACUGCUUGAUGAACUAUAAUGCAACGUAUAAGAUUGUUGUUCAUUGAUUCAUGACAUCAAUGGUUUAAAGUUUUAGUUAGCACAAUAAGGAUAAGUAAUGUCCAAUUAACAUGUUUUUAUAUUAUGAAUAUAUUGAACACAACUCCAAUAGUUUAAUUUAAACAUCUUAAUUUAAAUACAAGUGGCCAGAUUUGAUUAUAGAUCGUCGGGACGUACACCAGUGUGUGAGAGUAAAAAUACAGUAAAAUCAUCAUUUUAUGUAACUUAUGUUAAGUUCUUUUUAUAAUAAAUGAAAGUAUUUUAUUAUAUCUAUGAUGUAUCCAU
rnacentral:lncRNA from 1 species